rnacentral:lncRNA from 1 species
AGGUGUUGGUCUAAGAUCUCAAGGCUAAGAUUUUUUUUGAAAAAAAGAUUAUACAAUGAGGAGAUCAGUUUGAGAUUGAUCUCCAUGGAUACCCAUAAAGGUCAAACACGUGUGCGGCUUGAGCAUCUAUGAAUCUGUGAUCAUCAGAAGCAGUGAAUACCUAUCCGCACCAAGAUAAUGAGAUUCGAUCUUAUACUUGUCUCUCAAUUUUAGAUCAUAUAUA